AUGGCUACUGAUGGUGGCCUGGCUAGGGGAUCUCUCACCACGUCGUUUUUCGGCCAGGUGGGCCAGGCCAAGGACCCCUAUAUCAAUUCACCAGUGGGCCACAUCGAUGGGCCCAUGGCGUAUGAAAGGAAGGCUAGAAUCAAGAAGGAGUACGAGAUCAGCAUCAUCUCAUGCGCCGAUGUCAUGGCCUUCGCUGGGCGUGAUGCCACCUACUUCCUCAAGUGCAAGAUGGUCUUCUUCGGCACACCAAGGUUGAUUGCCGACGAGAUGGUCACCCUCUCUAGUGCACACGCCAUUGGAAUGUCCCAUUCCUCCUCCUCCUCCUCCUCCUCCUCCUCAUCCUUCUCCGACUACCUCAACGCAAGCACCUCUGACAUGGGACCCACACUAAUGAGUUCUCUCGUGGAGCAAUGCGGGCCAGACAUAGGAAGUGACAACAUGGUGGUGCGGGAUGUCAAGACCCCUAACAAGGUCGACAACAAGCACUACAAUAAUAUGUUUAGCCAUCAUGUGCUCUUCAUGUUGGAUUCCAUGCUCAUGGCAUUAGAUGAUACAAGUGUGGCGGUGCAUGCCAAUGCCAACAACAAUGGUGUGUGGGGGGAGAAGUUCAAGGCAGCGAUGGUAAGGAUGGGUGCUAUCGAAGUCAAGACCAGUGCCAAUGGAUUUUGCUGUGUACAAGAUAAAAUGUUAUUCAUUUGGGUUAACCAAUUAGAUCAUUUUGAAUUUUCGGAGCAUGCCACCAAAUGGUCAUCUUCCUCCCACACCAUCUUCCUCCUCUCCCAUGACGGCUCCUCCUCCUUUCCGUGGCUUAUGCAGGCCUAA
rnacentral:rRNA from 1 species